rnacentral:ncRNA from 1 species
CAUCAACCGGAUGAAAAGGGAAUCGGGUGAAAAUCCCGGACAGUCCUCGCUGCUGUAAAACUCCAUUCAACGUCUUGAUAUAUACUUUUUCCACUGGUUUACGAGAAAUCGGGAAGGAAUCGGGACGGGAGCCAGUCAGAAGACCUGCCAUUCAUUAA